rnacentral:rRNA from 1 species
GUCUGCAGCCCUGCCACCCUGAAGGUGCCUGAUCUCGUCUGAUCUCGGAAGCUAAGCAGGUUUGGUCCUGGUUAGUACUUGGAUGAGAGACCACCCAGGAAUACCAGGUGCUGUAGGAG